UGGGGAAUAUUGCACAAUGGGCGCAAGCCUGAUGCAGCCAUGCCGCGUGUGUGAAGAAGGCCUUCGGGUUGUAAAGCACUUUCAGCGGGGAGGAAGGCGUUAAGGUUAAUAACCUUGGCGAUUGACGUUACCCGCAGAAGAAGCACCGGCUAACUCCGUGCCAGCAGCCGCGGUAAUACGGAGGGUGCAAGCGUUAAUCGGAAUUACUGGGCGUAAAGCGCACGCAGGCGGUUUGUUAAGUCAGAUGUGAAAUCCCCGGGCUCAACCUGGGAACUGAAUCUGAUACUGGCAAGCUUGAGUCUCGUAGAGGGGGGUAGAAUUCCAGGUGUAGCGGUGAAAUGCGUAGAGAUCUGGAGGAAUACCGGUGGCGAAGGCGGCCCCCUGGACGAAGACUGACGCUCAGGUGCGAAAGCGUGGGGAGCAAACAGG
rnacentral:rRNA from 1 species